GUGCCAGCCGCCGCGGUAAUACGUAGGGUGCGAGCGUUAAUCGGAAUUACUGGGCGUAAAGCGUGCGCAGGCGGUUCGUUGUGUCCGAUGUGAAAGCCCCGGGCUUAACCUGGGAACGGCAUUGGAAACUGGCGGGCUGGAGUGCGGCAGAGGGGGGUGGAAUUCCGCGUGUAGCAGUGAAAUGCGUAGAGAUGCGGAGGAACACCGAUGGCGAAGGCAGCCCCCUGGGCCGACACUGACGCUCAGGCACGAAAGCGUGGGGAGCAAACAGGAUUAGAUACCCGAGUAGUCC
rnacentral:rRNA from 1 species